rnacentral:lncRNA from 1 species
CUCAACUCGGGUAAAGCUUGGGGAAGGGGAUUUAGGUGUUUAGAAAGUUUGGAGGAUGGUUGGUGAAGGUUUUUGGAUGAUUGUUUGAAGUUAAAACACUUGGAAUCUCAAAACACGAUGUACUUUUUUUUUAAAGCUCUAGGUGAAAAGUGCAGUAGAGGUUUGAGGGGCUUAAGAGCUUGGUUUUCUAAUGGAACACCUUCA